UACGGAGGGUGCGAGCGUUGUCCGGAAUCACUGGGCGUAAAGGGCGCGUAGGCGGCUUCUCAAGCGUGUGGUGAAAGUCCGGGGCUCAACCCCGGAUCGGCCGUGCGGACUGGGGAGCUCGAGUUCUGUAGAGGCGGGUGGAAUUCCGGGUGUAGCGGUGGAAUGCGUAGAUAUCGGGAGGAACACCUGUGGCGAAAGCGGCUCACUGGACCACAACUGACGCUGAUGCACGAAAGCUAGGGGAGCAAACAGG
rnacentral:rRNA from 1 species